UUGAAGGAUUGAUAUCUUCGUGCUUGUACUUUUCUACCAACGCCAAGUAAAAUAUAUCUUCUUUAAGAUGUUAAUGUUUAUCGUUAAGCUUUUCUGCAAUCUUAAUAACUCGAGGGCUGUCAACAAUUUGAAUAACAAAGUUAUGCUGAGCAACUUCUUAAAUUACUUUCUUAACUUCUAUAACAGCAACUUCUAAAACCUGCUCAGCACUAACACACACACACACAGAGAAGAGGGACGGGACCUGCAGAAAUCGGAGAAGGGGGAAUUACGGAAGGCAGAGCGAGAGGAAGAGCGAGAAUUGGCUCCCCAACCCAUGCCUAGGGUUUUCUGGGUUGUAUUCUUCUUCUUCUUAUCAUUCUUCGUACUUUUAGCACCACUGCUACUGGUUUUGUUAGAAGGAUUAGAAGAGAUUGAAUUGAAGCCCCGUUUCGAAUUCGAAACAGAGUUUCCGGAGCGAGUCGAAUCGAAACUCAUCUUCACGAAUCACGAAUUAUGCAAUUGCAUUUUGAGAUGUUCAGAGAUUAAAAAAUAUUAAGAAACUUGCAGAGAAUGCAUUUGAAAUGAAUAGGAAAUUUUCUUAUAAUUUUGAGUUUACAUUUAACCACCGAUCGACCAUUUGCGGGAGCGGGACGAGAUUGCCUGCAGUGCUAUGCGGUGCAAUGUUUUGAUCACUAUAUUCCAUAGAAAAAAUAUAUGAAAAAGGAAAAAAGAAAAAGAACUAAAAAUUUAGCCCCUGGUUGGCCUUCAUUAAUUUCUAUUUCAUUAAAUUUCUUUUUUUUCUCUCCUACUUUUAACCACACAAUCUUCCAUAAAAUAAUAUUACACGUAAAGCGAAAAAUUUUCUUUCUUUUUCAACUACUCAUUUUUCACAAAAACAAUAUUCCACCCAUUAAAUUUUCUACAAAAUGGGGGCCAAACCGGGGCUUAAUCACUAUAUUUGGGUGGGGGCCAACACAUUCAAUCUACGUUAAGUAAGCUAAAAGCCAUUAUCUCGGCCAAAUAAAAAAUAAUAAAACCUUAUAAUUAUGCAAGAGAAAAGUUGUUCAAUUAAUCUUUAAAUAUUUUUCCAGAUUUUAUUCCUAUCUUGGUUGCCAAACAUUAAUGAAAAACAAGUGUGAAUUAAGGUUCUUUACCUUAAAUAGAUAUUUCUUUCCAUUUUGUAUUAAUUAAUUUUAGGACAAAUUAUUCUUGAUGAUUUAUAUAAUUAAGGCCUUAAAAAACUCGAUGGUGUCAUAAUUUAUAUACAUUAGCGCCAACGGGUCUUUGUUCAUAUAUAUGUGAUUCCCGAAUCAAACAUUAUUUUUAAAACAAUAUACAAAUUCAAACACAACCUAAGUGAGAUUCUAUAUUUAUUAAACAAACCUCAUGGGGCUGCAAUUUCUUGCCGUAGAAAACAUUAGGUUGAAUCCCUCCCUUCAUCAUCUCAUCAUCCACAAGUUUGCUGUAGAAGACAACAUCUGCUCAUUUUGCCUGACCAAUAUAAUUGUCAUCUACUCAAGAACAUUUGAAAUUUUGGCAUGCUUAUAAAAGAUUAAUAAUGGAUGAUCUCGUUGAACUAUAUUGUUGUGGUUGGACAACAAGCAUGAUCUACAUGAUAUUAGCAUUAGAGGAUAAUAAUAAUUAAUAUUUUUUCCUGUUAGUUAUUUGUUAGAUAUAUUUCAUGUUCAGUAAAUAUCUAUUAGAUGCACAGGUUUGAAUGAGAAGUUUCCAAAUAUCAACUAAUACCUGUCUUUUCAUCUUUUUGUUUAUGUGGAAACUGUAUUCAGAUGGUAGAAAAGUUGAUCAAUGAGCAUGAAGAAUGUGUAGAAGGUAAAUUUAACUCAAUUAAAAGCCUAAAGGAAACAAAUGCUCCAAGCGUAUCUUUUGUCAGACACGUAACUAUCACUCUCUAAUGACCGAAUAAGUUUUCAUUAUUUGGAUCAAUAUUUUUGCUAUUAAUGAAUUGAGUUUGUUGUUUAUUAAAUGACAACCUUAGAAUGUUUUCUAAGAAGAAAUGAUAAAUAUAUGAGCAUGUUUUCGAAUUGUGAUGUAAAUAUUGAUCAUGCAAGUUUGAUCCAUAUCUUAUCAUUAGCUAAAUAUGAUUGGAGACCAGUUAGAUGACUGUAUAUACAUUUUUAGCCCCUGAUUGGUAGAAAUCAUUUGUUAUCUCUUGAAACCAAUCCACACAUAAGGCCAUACCAAAUUUAUCAACACCACCGCUUACACUCCAUAGAUUAGCCACUAUGUUAGGAGAACCUAUUGAUGAAUACAAAAUAGGAGCACCUUCCGGGGUGUAAAGCCCAUUUAGUUUUAGUUCACCACUUUCGCAUCCUAAUAGUAUUGUAGCCGCACAACCAUUGAGUUCUUGAAUUUUUUCUUUAAGGUCAAUGUUCAACUAUAAAAUGACAAGGUAAAAAUGAAAUUGGGUUUAACGAUUCUCUAGAAAUACAAAGUAGGGGGAAAAAAGAAUACAUACCUGACUAUGCUUUACUUAAACUACUUAUUUGUGAAACUUGAUUUCCAAAGUAACUUUUUUUUUAUUGACAAAUCUUGCUUUUGCUUUUCUCGAACCUACAUUCACAAGUGUUAACUUUUAAGUACAAUCAAAUAUAUUCUAGUUGUUUACCAUCUACAUGGACCGAGCAAACACAGAGGUCGUGAUUUUUCAAAGUUACAAUUAGCUCAUUGUUUGGAAAAAAUAUUUAUACGUACCAUGCAUAGAAAAGUCGAAGAAGAAACUUCAAUCCAAUUUGGCAAAUCUUUGUUUUUCUUAUCAAGUAUGAGAAAUAAAGAACUAGAUUACCUUGCAAUUCUCUUUUUGCAACAAUUUCUCAAAUUUAACCUGUUCACUUCCAACGCAGUCAUUGUUAGGAUUUAUUACAUAAUAUAGGUUGCGAGGAUUUAUCAAUAGAAAUGAUACAGAAUUUGUCGAAAACUACACUUGUUCUUGGCAACGCGUGUGAAUUGUUGCAAGAAUGCUUUCAACAGAUGACAUACGAUAAAUCUCUUCGUUUUCCAAUAUCGACAGAUUCUCCCAUGAAAAUAACUGUAGAAAAUUAUCAAUAUUGCUUAAAUAACCUAUAUUAAAAACGUAAGAUUAUUUAUGAUCAAUAUGACACGAAUCAAUCAAAGAAAUUAUCGAUUAUAUUUAUAUAAAUUACUAUAAUGAAAUGAAAAGCAUAACAUGUUAGAUUCAUUUAUUCGAUUUUCAAAUAUAAAAAUUCUAAUUAAUUGGUUAAAUAGAAACUCUAAAAACUUAUAAAAAUAUAAUAGAAAAUAACAAAAGAAAAUAUUUGAAAGUAAUAAAUUAAAGGUGUGUACUUGAACAUCAUAAUCUAGGAUUGGAAAGAUGAGACUUCUUUUCAUGCAAUCUAUCCCACCGUUAUCGCGUGUUUUUUGUUUUGAACACAGAACUCAAUAGGGAAAUAGAUUUUCCUGGCUUUAUGCCAACAUAACAUCAUUUCGUCAAAAUAUACGGUAAAUAUCUUCCGUCUAUGGACAUAUAUUCUUUCAUAAAUACAAGGUGUUUAGAAUUUGGUCACUGUCCCAACAUGACAUGUUUUCAAGCAUUAAAAUUUCCAACCUUGGGGUUUCACUAUGAAUUUGCUCAAUUAUGUUAGGAACAUUAAUUUAUAGCAGCGAAUUUACAAGUAUUAAAAUUAUGAAUAUUUUUUAUUCAAUUAGGUUUAUGUCAAUGUGUCUUCAUGUAUCAGAAAUACGGAAGCCUUUUGGCUUGGUGCCUGAAAACAUGACAUGUUGGGGUAGAUUAUGUUAGGAACCUUGGUUUAUAGCAACGAAUUUACUAGCAUUAAAAUGAUGAAUUUUUUUUAUUUAAUUAAAUUUUAUGUCAAUGUGUCUUCAUAUAUCAGAGAUAUGAAAGCUUUUUGGCUUGGUGUUUGAAAACAUGCCAUGUUGGGAUGUGGCCAAAUUCUUAACACCUUGUAUUUAGGAAAGAGUACCUAUCUGUAGAUGAAAGAUAUUUACUGUAUAUUUUGAUGAAACGAUGUUAUAUUGGCAUAAAGUCGAUAGUAUCUACAUUCCUAUUGAGUUCUAUGUUCAAAACACGUGAUAACGACGAGAUUGAUUGUGUAAAAAGAAGUCCCAUCAUUCUAAUCCUAGAAUUCGAGGUUCAUGUAUACACACUUAAUUUAUUACUUUCAUGUAUCUUCUUUUGUUUUUUUCUGCUAUGUUUUUAUAAGCUUUUAUUAGAGUUUCUAUAAUUAAUUAAAAUUUUUAUAUUUGAAAAUCAG
rnacentral:lncRNA from 1 species